GUAUCACAAAGCUACUGAACGAGUGAAGCUUUCUGUAGAUCUUCGCUGGUCUUUGUUAUUUGCUAACUUUGAAAUCUCUGAGUGUUCGAAUUCGACAGUUUGACUCAUUCUCUGUUACGAUUCGAAUUGAUGUCUUUAGCACAGCUGGUUCUGCUCAACUAUGGAUUAGCAAGCAUACACCAAGUUCGAAAAUGAACAUGUCCGGUCAAAUAUAACCGACUUCAAACAGGUUUUAGAGAUAACCGGGUGUUGGCUUGUCACAGAUUUCUCAGGCUGUGUAUGACGUUGAGGAAGCAACCGCAGAAGCGUUUGACAUAAUUUUAUCACAAAAGGCCAUUAAAUCAUCUGAAACAAGUGCGUCAUUUAUAAGAUUUAUCCAGCUUCUAACAGCACAUCAUGCUUCCAGGAGGUAAAGUAAAGUCCCAUCAUCCUAAUGUCUAUUGUUGCUUAUCGCUGG